GAAAUGUAUGCAUUCACUACUGUAAGUCGCUCUGGAUAAGAGCGUCUGCUAAAAUGACUAAAAUGUAAAUGUUAAUAACUGAUCUAGGAUCAGUUUCCUCCCUCCAGUCCUAACAGGUCACCAUUAGAGAGGUGAUAUAUAUAUAUAUAUAACUGAUCUAGGACCAGUCCUAACAGGUCACCAUUAGAGAGGUGAUAUAUAUAUAUAUAUAUGACUGAUCUAGGAUCAGUCCUAACGGGUCACCAUUAGAGAGGUGAUAUAUAUAUAUAUAUAUAUAACUGAUCUAGGACCAGUGUUGAACAGGUCACCAUUAGAGAGGUGAUAUAUAUAUAUAUAUAUAUAUAACUGAUCUAGGACCAGUGUUAAACAGAGCUGAAUGUCUGUCUGGUUCAUACCAUUUAUGAUGCUGAUGUAUUGUUAUUAUAAUGACAUUAAAUUAUUGAAUGUUUCUGUCGA